AGAGUUUGAUCAUGGCUCAGGAUGAACGCUAGCUACAGGCUUAACACAUGCAAGUCGAGGGGCAGCAUUUUAGUUUGCUUGCAAACUAAAGAUGGCGACCGGCGCACGGGUGAGUAACGCGUAUGCAACUUACCUAUCAGAGGGGGAUAACCCGGCGAAAGUCGGACUAAUACCGCAUGAAGCAGGGGCCCCGCAUGGGGAUAUUUGCUAAAGAUUCAUCGCUGAUAGAUAGGCAUGCGUUCCAUUAGGCAGUUGGCGGGGUAACGGCCCACCAAACCGACGAUGGAUAGGGGUUCUGAGAGGAAGGUCCCCCACAUUGGUACUGAGACACGGACCAAACUCCUACGGGAGGCAGCA
rnacentral:rRNA from 1 species